AUGAUCAGAAUGUUUAGCGACUGCUUCUGUUUCAGAAUCUGCCGACGCAAACACAGGGAACGCGGGGACCAGCUCAAAAAGAAGCCUACCCAGAAGAGAAAGGGCUGUAGGUGUAAGUGUAGGUGUGGCGCUCGGCAGAAGAGCAAGCAGCAACGUGGACGGAGAAGGGCCCGACGGGGGAGAUCCCAGUACAGGAGACGCAGGAAAAGUCGGAGGAAGCCCAAGAAAAGUCGGAGGAAGCCCAAGAAAAGUCGGAGGAAGCCCAUGAAAAGGAGUCAGUCACGGCCCAGGAGGAGGCACCCAAGGAGAACGAAGGUGAAAUACUUUUUCAGGAAGAGUGUGGUUGAGCCCGAGAAGUGAUCCAGGUGAUCGCGGCAGAUCUCCGAGCCCCAAAGAAGACGCCAUCUGUCAAUAAACUUCAGUCAGUGCAUUCCAAGCUCUGUUUUUCCACAUGUACUCCUUUUUCCAUCGUUUCACAUCCAGUUUCAAAAGGAACUAUCCUAAUGCUAUCACUGCUGCUUUUCUGCCACUUACAAGCCAGUCUCGGUCAUCCAUGAUUUUAAUCAAUCAAUCAGUGGUAUUUACUGAGUGCUUACUGUGUGCAUAGCCCUAUACUGAUAACGCAUAGCCCUAUACUGAUAACAACAACAAUAAUAAUAAUCACUACAGCAUUCGUUAAGCGCUCAUUGUGUGCCAGGCACUGUACUAAGCACUGGGAUGAAAACAAGCAAAUCUGGUCAGACACAGCC
rnacentral:lncRNA from 1 species